ensembl:snoRNA
AUCCUUUUGUAGUUCAUAAGCGUGAUGAUUGGGUUUUCAUGCACAUGCGUGAGAUGUGCCUCCCACAAAUCUUGUUACGACAUCGGCAUAUUACCCGUCUGAAA